rnacentral:rRNA from 1 species
GCUUUACUGUAACUUGAGAUUGAAAUUGGACUUUAUUUGCGCAGCAUAGGUGGGAGACGUUGAGAAUAUUCUUGCGGGAAUAUUGGAGUCAUCAGUGAGAUACCACUCUUGUAAUGUUAGAUUUCUAACUUUGAAUCAUUAUCUGGUCAAAGGACAGUUUCAGGCGGGCAGUUUGACUGGGGCGGUCGCCUCCUAAACGGUAACGGAGGCGCACAAAGGUUUCCUCUGAACGUGUAGAAAUCGUAUCUAGAGUGUAAAGGCAUAAGGAAGCUUGACUGUGAGACCUACAAGUCGAGCAGGGACGAAAGUCGGUCUUAGUGAUCUGACGGUGCUGAGUGGAAAGGCCGUCACUCAACGGAUAAAAGUUAC